UUUUGUGUCUUCUUUCUGAGUUUUGAAUCGCGCAAAACAAUGCCGCAAUGAUGUCGUACAUAGAGUUUUGAUCUGUGACCUUUUUGUUGCAACCAUCAGAGAAAAGUAUGAUGAAUAGGGAAGAAAGAUAGGGGCAGAGAGAAAUUGAUGGUGAUAGGUCUUGGGUUGAAGAUGAAGAGUGAGCAAGCAGGGAGCAAUGGAAAGAACACUUUCAUUCAGGCACAUAGGGCAUGGCUUCCCAAGCUUUUGAUGUUGUGGAUCCUUCUCAUGGCUCUAAUUGGUUGGUGCAUCUAUACUAAAAUGGAUGCUGACACUAAAGUCAGAAGAAAAGAGGUGCUCGGUAGCCUCUGUGAUCAAAGGGCAAGAACGCUGCAAGAUCAAUUCAGUGUUAGUGUCAACCAUGUCCAUGCCCUUGCCAUCCUUGUUUCAACCUUCCAUUACUACAGAACACCUUCUGCAAUUGACCAGGUUUGUGUUUGAUCUUUCAUUGU